CAUGCAGCAUUUGGACCUCGCGUCUACGUAUUGCCAUCUGGCGGAUUUUUCAUACGCGAACACCCUCAUUGCAAUAAUUUCCGCAUAAAUAUUACGUUUCAUUUCCAGGCGAUGCUGAUGGUGGAUUUAUAAUCCGGCAAGGUCUUCGCAUUUCGCAAGGAAACAUAACCGAAUAACGUCCGAAUGCAACGGAAUCGGAACUAAAACAAUACUUUCCACUUCGAGCACUGUGCGAGCACGGGAAGUUAACGGUCCGCCGUAAACAGGGACAUUCAUUUCAUUUAAGCACGUCAUCCAACAGUGGUAACGGUAUAUGAACAACGAUGGCAACCACGAUGAGUCAUACAAUGUGAUUACAAUGGCACGAGUACGAGUGCCUCAUGAGCUCCGAAAUUAAUUUCCGCUCUACUAAAAAUCCAAAGGGGUGUUCUCCAUCGAUGCAUUAAGUAAACAAAGUCACAUUUGCGCUUCGAUUGUUGGCAAUGAUGAAAAUAUUGCAUCAAUGGCACACAAAUUCACACAAUGUACCUACUACGGGCAUCAAAAAGCCAAUAGGUAUACCGUAGACAUUUUUAGUGUCUGGAAUUAAUAAACAAAAUAAACACAAGGUGCACCGGUGACCAACGAACGGCUGUAAUUUGCAUGGGCAAUAAAUAACGGCGCGGCGGAGAUAGCAUCGCGCCCUGUUCGAUUCACUCGCACUAUCAUAUAAUAACUUAUACGAGCUAGCUACUAUCACUAGUUGAACGCCCUGUCUUGGCACCGUUUACGCGAUCCAACAGACGAGUUAUCACAAUAAGUUUGUUUUCUCCGCUGUAUUGCCUUUUCAGUUAAAAGAAAACCUUUAAGAGUAAAUUUUGAAAUCUAACAAUUACAGACCGAAAAUAUUCUAACUACAAUCCGAAUGCCCCUGAAAAGCCCGACAGUAUUUAAUAUCAAAAUACAUACUCUACAUCCCUUAAUUAGCAAUGAAGAAUUUGAAAUAAGUUGAUUAUUUUACCAUCUUGUUUUUUUUUUAACUAACAUGCUAAUUAUUUACUACAUAAGGAAUUUUGAUGCAGUUUUUAUAUUUUAUAAGGGACAAGCAUAUUCCAGGCCCCAGUCAUACACAGCCAGACUAGUAAUGUGAUAAACAAACAACCACAUAUAGAAGGGAAUCCGAACUAAUCAGUUUUAUGAAGCCCUUUGUUGACUUGUGAGUAAACAACGUGAGUCAAGAAUAACAACUUAUUUAUAGAAUGAAAUAUAUUGUGGUUUUAAUAUCGUUGGGUUUUAUACUUCAAUAAAUUUCAACGACAAAACGCUGGACUUUAUCCUAAUUGCACAACAAUGCGCUGGAAUUUAAGUCCCAAUAAAAGAUGGCUGAUUCCAGAAGAAUGCAGUCUCAUCAUUUUUUUUUCACACAGUGGCCUGAUUGUCAAUAGGAAAUGGAGCCCUUCCUUGUUAUGGCAAUGCUCUAUUCAACAGCCGUAUUAUGAAAAUACGACAGAUGAGCCGUGCUGCCAUGUCGCGCGACGCCGUGGCAUUUGGUAAACAUGCAAGAAGACCCAUAUGCGCUCAAGUUACUUUAGCGCAUGAUUCUACUUAUUUUACGUAUUUUCUGAUUCAGAUAUGAUAUUACCUAGCUAGACUUGCGAGUCCAGAAGUGAAUACUCACUACAGUAUUAAAAAGUUACAGCUUACAAUACUAGUUUAAUAUCUUAACUGAACAAUGCAAAUUGCAAUAUGCAAUACAACACAAACAAACGCAAUUCGUAAUGUAAAGAAGAACCCAUAUAAAAAUCAAGCAGCCCCCAUGAAUUGGCACGCGCUUUUGUUCAACACAAGGGUGUUAAAAUAACUUAUUCUCCUGUGAUUAAUAAAGGUAUAUGUGUAUAAGAACUUCAUUGCAUUGAAUACCAGUAAUAUUAGGUCAGCAAUAAUGGCCAAAGGACGCGCAGGAGGCUGAGGAAGUAGGGUUGAGACGGGAGAAGCGGUUUGUCGACCUCCUACGUAUUAUUGGCUCGCUGCGAACGAUAGAGAUCCGGACCGGACCCACCGCCUACGACUAAUAGCGUCGCAAAACCUGCUGCAACAGGCCCCGUGACUUUUUGCACUUGAAAAUGUAAAACUGUCCCUAAAUCAUAUCACAGUUUGCGGACCAACGAGUCAAGGUAAGGUGUUUUGCAGCAGAGUAGUAUGUAUAGAGUCUAUGGAGCUGUGAAUCAAAAUCAGCUUGACGUGACAAAAGGCAAAAGGAUUUAACUUUUAUUCUUCGGGUAGGUAGUUUAAAAAGAUAAGACUGACUGUUAGUUCAAUGUUUCAAGUACUUUACAUAGUGAAUUAGUUAGAGUAGGUUCUUAUACGGCUCCAAUUAGUUUUAGUUCCAAUAUGCUUGCAAAUUAAUGUUUCUUCAAUUACCUAUAUCUAUAGGAGAAUUCGUACUCACUAUCACAGCAAAUCUUUUUCACAACUCAAAAAUUUGUUAGAUUCAAAGUUACAAGAGUAUUUUCAACUGCGCCUAUAUUAUCCUGCAGUUCCUGGAGACUAGGGGUCUGUGGUAUAAUAAUUGCUAUUAUUUUAAUUCCCGUACAAGUAUACAUUAAGUACAUUUGUUUCACCUACAUUUUCGUUAAAAUUACAGUGUAACAACAUCAACAAAAGCCGAGCGAUGUGUAUUUAUUUACUGCCGGAAGACCACUACCGGGACUCAGCGUUACGACC